GAAUGAGUUGUCUGAAUGUGGCAAGCAGGGCCUUUCAGUGAAACCCAAAAUGGGUAAUGCAUUGCUAUUUUGGAGCACAAGGCCUGAUGCAACUCUAGAUCCUUCAAGUUUGCACGGUGGUUGUCCUGUGAUUAUAGGCAACAAGUGCUCAGCUACAAAGUGGAUGCAUCUAGGGGAGUACAAGGUCUGAGCCAUUAUUAGUAAAGGAUAGGCGAACAAGUAUCAUGUGGAUCAUUUGUGCUGGCAUAUAUGGUGAAUGUCCAGACACAGAGUGGCACAUUCCUGAUCCCUCAACGGUAGAAAUAGCAUAGAAAAGUUUUACAAUUUAGGCAUAGCGAUUUUAUUUUAUUUUAAUUUUGUUUCUUAUUUCAUGGGCCCGUUUUAGCCUUCUAACUGGGAUUUAGGUCGUAAGUUGUUACUUGGUGGUCCAAAACAGAUAUGUUUUUUCUUCUUGUACUUACAAAUUUAGUUGGGUAUAACGAGGGGAUGUCUUCUGGGCAAAGCUUCACUCCCAAUAGGUAAAUUGUGAACGAACAAAAUAAUUGCUGGAUUAUAAGUCGUCAGACUUUUCUUCACCAGGGAUGCCCGCGUAUUUUUCAGUUGUUGGAAGCCUGGUGCCUAGAAUUAAUUAGAACCGACAUCGAGUGAAAUAUGCCAAGAAGCAAAAAAAAAAAAAA
rnacentral:misc_RNA from 1 species